rnacentral:rRNA from 1 species
CUAAUACAUGCAAGUCGAGCGAACAGACGAGGAGCUUGCUCCUCUAACGUUAGCGGCGGACGGGUGAGUAACACGUGGGUAACCUACCUAUAAGACUGGGAUAACUCCGGGAAACCGGGGCUAAUACCGGAUAACACAUGAAACCGCAUGGUUUCAUGAUGAAAGACGGUUUUGCUGUCACUUAUAGAUGGACCCGCGGCGUAUUAGCUAGUUGGUAAGGUAACGGCUUACCAAGGCAACGAUACGUAGCCGACCUGAGAGGGUGAUCGGCCACACUGGAACUGAGACACGGUCCAGACUCCUACGGGAGGCAGCAGUAGGGAAUCUUCCGCAAUGGGCGAAAGCCUGACGGAGCAACGCCGCGUGUGCGAAGAAGGUCUUCGGAUCGUAAAGCACUGUUGUUAAGGAAGAACGACAGUAAGAGUAACUGCUUACUGUGUGACGGUACUUAACCAGAAAGCCACGGCUAACUACGUGCCAGCAGCCGCGGUAAUACGUAGGUGGCAAGCGUUAUCCGGAAUUAUUGGGCGUAAAGCGCGCGUAGGCGGCGAGAUUAGUCUGAUGUGAAAAGCCCCCGGCUCAACCGGGGAGGGUCAUUGGAAACUGUUUCGCUUGAGUGCAGAAGAGGAGAGUGGAAUUCCAUGUGUACCGGUGAAAUGCGCAGAGAUAUGGAGGAACACCAGUGGCGAAGGCGGC